rnacentral:rRNA from 1 species
CUGGCUCAGAACGAACGCUGGCGGCAGGCCUAACACGAUGCAAGUCGAGCGCGCCCUCGGGGUGAGCGGCGGACGGGUUAGUAACGCGUGGGAACGUACCCUUUGGUAGGGAAUAGCCACUGGAAACGGUGAGUAAUACCCUAUGAGCCCUUCGGGGGAAAGAUUUAUCGCCAAAGGAUCGGCCCGCGUUAGAUUAGGUAGUUGGUGGGGUAAUGGCCUACCAAGCCUACGAUCUAUAGCUGGUUUUAGAGGAUGAUCAGCAACACUGGGACUGAGACACGGCCCAGACUCCUACGGGAGGCAGCAGUGGGGAAUCUUGGACAAUGGGGGCAACCCUUGAUCCAGCCAUGCCGCGUGUAGUGAAGAAGGCCUUAGGGUCGUAAAGCUCUUUCGCCUGUGAAGAUAAUGACGGUAGCAGGUAAAGAAACCCCGGCUAACUCCGUGCCAGCCGCCGC